GACGUAGGGGGCCAGCGUUGCUCGGAAUUACUGGGCGUAAAGGGUCCGUAGGCGGUGCGGUAAGUCGGGAGUGAAAUCUCUGGGCUUAACUCAGAGGCUGCUUCCGAAACUACCGUGCUAGAGUGCGAGAUAGGCGAGUGGAAUUGCAGGUGUAGCGGUGAAAUGCGCAGAUAUCUGCAGGAACAUCCGAGGCGAAAGCGGCUCGCUGGAUCACAACUGACGCUGAGAGACGAAAGCUAGGGGAGCAAACAGG
rnacentral:rRNA from 1 species